rnacentral:misc_RNA from 1 species
GUUCGCAAAACUACCUUCCUCAGAUCUAGCAAGGGAAGAGGAAUUAAAUUCAGCAGCAUUGACAACGACAGCAUUUUCUGAAUCUCCAGAUAUCGGAUCAGCAGAAGAGAAGAGGACGAAAAAACACAAGGAGAUAACGAGGAGAAAGCAGAACCCUGGAUUUGGCAUUGCCGAGUUAGAGAGAGAAAAUGUGGUUAGGGUUUUAGAGAAAGGAAAAUGGGUGCCAGAGUGCACCCUGCUGGAAGUUAUCCAACCGACAUUGAGAUCCUUUACAUUUACGUUUUGCUCAAACACCGGGGGAGAGAGAAGCGGGGGAAGCCGGCGGUGGUUGGGUGAGUCUGCGACAAGAAAGCGUACUUUUGUCAUUUCCGGACCGAA